rnacentral:rRNA from 1 species
UACGUAGGGUGCGAGCGUUUAAUCGGAAUUACUGGGCGUAAAGCGUGCGCAGGCGGUGAGCUGUGUCCGAUGUGAAAGCCCCGGGCUUAACCUGGGAAUGGCAUUGGAAACUGGCUCGCUGGAGUGUGGCAGAGGGGGGGUGGAAUUCCGCGUGUAGCAGUGAAAUGCGUAGAGAUGCGGAGGAACACCGAUGGCGAAGGCAGCCCCCCUGGGCUAACACUGACGCUCAGGCACGAAAGCGUGGGGAGCAAACAGG